AGCACCUUAAUGAGAAACUGGCCAAGCUGACAGCCAGGUUUGAUACAGCCGUGGACGACAAGCUAAAAUGACAGCAGGAGGCUGAGUCCACCGCUUGCACCAUCUCCCUCUCAAACCACCUGGUGGAUGGUCUGACGUCGGAGAACGUGCCCUGGCUGGAGAACGAGCCCUGGCUGGAGAACGUGCACUGGCUGGAGAACGUGGCCUGACUGGAGAACGUGCCCUGGCUGGAGAACGUGCCCUGGCUGGAGAACGUGCCCUGGCUGGAGAACAUGCCCUGGCUGGAGAACGUGCCCUGGCUGGAGAACUUGCCCUUGCUGGAGAAUGUGUGCUGGGAGGAGGUGGUGUAGAGUUUCAGAUGUCGGGAGAGGACUUUGUGUAUCCUAGCUGGGAUACUUCACUAAGGGCUACUGCCACUAGCUCAUAGACAACACCUGGAGAUAUUUCCUCUGUCAACUACAGGGCGAGAGAAGACAGACAAUUACUAGGACGUUCACAUGACAAUAUCAAAAGCUUUAUGUGGGCUACAACACAGUUUGACAACAUGGGAGAUGGUUUGAAGAUUUUCCUAGUAACUGACUUACAUCCUACGACAGUAGUAUAUGCUGAUAAAGGAUGACCACAGCAGCUCCUCUCUCUCCCAGUGACCCCUGACCUGGACCCUCUGGCCAUGCUGAUGGACAACGCUGACAUUGUGGCGUGGCAGAACGAGGGGCCUGCCGGACGACAGGAUGUCCACGCUGUAAUCCAGAUGAGCAGAUCAAGUUUGCAAUGAAUAAUCUUCCACGAGACCACCUCUCACCAGAAGAGGGGAGGAGGGUUUUUGACACCUCCACUGCCUGUCGUACAUUAAGGUAGAAGAAGACUCUCUCCCUCCAUCUUACAAUGCGCAUUGGAAUGUGCCUUUGUUUCACAGGCAGUUUUCCCACCGAAACUCUAACACGCUCAAGAGUGAAUACUGGAACAAUAUUUCUAACAUAAGAAUUUGGGAAUGGUCAGUGGGGAGCUAUAGAAAACUGUCAUAUUGUUUUUUAUUUUGUGAUGUCAUUAAAAAUGGUAUGGACGAAAUACUAUAACUUA